UCCUCCUUGUUGCAGAAAAGAAUAAUGAAUUGUUGUUGAAAAACCAUCAAGUACGGCCAACGGGUGUUACCCCAUUGCCGGAUAUUAAUAGCACGUCAUUCCAGCAGAAUAAACGUGACUAUAGAUGGCCAUAUAAUAAGAAGCCUUGGGGGCGAAAGAAUAAACGAGGCCAUCAUAACAACAAAUUCUAGAACCGCGACAAUUUAAGCCACCAGAAGUGGCAAGUGUCUGAGUUGGGUAAAAAUAAAGAAAAUGCAACACAGAUAUAAGAACAAACCAGAUGUUUGUUUUAGGUGUGGGAUGAAAGGCA
rnacentral:lncRNA from 1 species